rnacentral:rRNA from 1 species
GAGUUUGAUCAUGGCUCAGAGUGAACGCUGGCGGCAGGCCUAACACAUGCAAGUCGAGCGGCAGCGCGGGGGCAACCCUGGCGGCGAGCGGCGGACGGGUGAGGAAUGCAUCGGAAUCUACCUCGUUGUGGGGGAUAACCUCGGGAAACCGGGACUAAUACCGCAUACGACCUACGGGUGAAAGUGGGGGACCGCAAGGCCUCACGCGAUGAGAUGAGCCGAUGCCGGAUUAGCUAGUUGGCGGGGUAAAGGCCCACCAAGGCGACGAUCCGUAGCUGGUCUGAGAGGAUGAUCAGCCACACUGGAACUGAGACACGGUCCAGACUCCUACGGGAGGCAGCAGUGGGGAAUAUUGGACGAUGGGCGCAAGCCUGAUCCAGCCAUGCCGCGUGUGUGAAGAAGGCCUUCGGUUGUAAG